AGGCAGAAGCCAGGAGGAGUUAGGAACAGACUAUAAGAAAUGGUUGGUCUGGAGGAAAAAGGGUAAAACUUAUGAGCCAUUCACUGAUGUAUUGGUAAGAGGACAGGAGUCCUGGGGAAAGACUGCCUCAUUUACACUCCAAAGACUUGGGUUCUGAUCUCCAUGUCGUGGCUUAUCAUAGUGUAAGCCAGUUAUGUACCUCUAGAAAUGGAAGUUUCUGCUGUUUAUAAACUGGAAAUAAUGAUACAUGUCCUGACUCCUAUUGGGUUGUUGCAAAGGAAUCAAUUGAAAUAAGACAAGACUUUCUGAAGGCACUUUGCCAACUUUCAGAACUGUAAAGAUUAAGGGACUGCUACUAUGUGCUGCUCAGGAAAUAACAGGCACCUGGGAAAACCCACGAAGUAAGGUUUUGUAAGAAGUUGCUCUGCUCCCUGGGAGAAAACGCGGAGCUCAACACUGCCAAGAGGAACAAGUCUGGGAAAUUACGACAUGAGGGCCCUUGUGAAUUGAUGAAUAUGAAGACACUAAGAAAGCAGAAAUAGAACUGAGAAGAAUGAAAUAACUGUCUCUACCUUUCUCGAAUUGUCUAAUAUGGAAAGAAUGAAAGACAGCUAAUAAGCAACUCUCUGCAAGAAGACAUAUGGCUUAGAGAUGGGAUCUUGCUAUGUGGCCCAGGCUGGCCUCAAACUCCUGGCCUCAAGAUAUUUCCCCCUGCCUUGGCCUCUCAAAGUGAAUCUACUUGGAGAGAGUCAAACACAGAAUCCCUUUGAAUUUAAUGGCCAUUCCAGGUGAUUUGAACAGCCAAAUAAGAAACAGGUCCUCUUCAAUGUACAAUCUGCCAAGUAUGAAGUCUGAAUGACCAUCAUUAUUAUGUAUUUAAUGUGCAUAGAAAAUCUAUCUGCAACCUUCCAGAGUGUACCAGAAGUUUGGAAUGUACAUUAUUAUUGGCUCCAUCUCAAACCACUCAUAAAUCAAAGAAAAUAGCAGUUCCAGAGGAAUCAUCAUAGAGGCUUCUAGGCCCCCAUGCUGUGUGAACCUGGUGAGAAAGGGAAGUCUGCUCUCACUGGACACUGGAACUGUUUGUCUCUGUCUCUGCUGUACUUUCCCUGCCUCUACCUCACUUAGUAAAGAAAUCAUCUUUGCUUGAUAACUAAAACAACCAAUAAGGCUGAGAAAGGGGAAAACCCACAUCUGGAUUUAAAUACAAGGUAUUGGGCCAGCUGCUGGGGAUUAAACUUUGAACAAAACAGAUAGAAUCUAUGUCCUCAUGGGAGUGGCUAAUGGGAGAGUCGGAACAAAAAAAUAGCCAAGGAUAAUCCAGCAAAUGAUUUGGUGAAUGCUAUCAAAGAGAGAAAUACACAUGCUCUGGGAACACCAAGUAGACAGAGUCUUGCUCUUGUUGCCCAGGCUGGAGUAUGAUGGUGCGAUCUCAGUUCACUGCAACCCCUGCCUCCCAGGUUCAAGUGAUUCUCCUACCUCAGCCUCCUGAGUAGCAGGGAUUAUAGGUACAAGCCACCACACCCGGCUAAUUUUUAUAUUUUUAGUAGAGACGGGGUUUCACCACAUUGGCCAGGCUGGUCUCGAACUCCUGACCUCAGGUAAUCUGCCCCUCGGCCUCCCAAAAUGCUGGGAUUAACAGGCAUGAGCCACAGCACCUGGCUGACUUUGCCUGUUUUAUAAUUUCACACAAUAAAAUCAUGCACUGUGCAUUUCUUUGUAUUGUCUCCUUUCACUCAGCAUAAUGUCUGUGUGAUUCAACCCUGUGGUGAUGUGUCAUUUUUUUAAAAAAAAUUAAGAUAUUUUAUUAUAUGAACAUACCAUAAUUUGUUUAUUCAUUUGGUGAACAUUGUGUUGAUGCCAGGUUUGGGCCAUUAUGAAU
ensembl:lncRNA LINC02541 long intergenic non-protein coding RNA 2541